GACGAACGCUGGCGGCGUGCUUAACACAUGCAAGUCGAACGGAAAGGCCCUGCUUUUGUGGGGUGCUCGAGUGGCGAACGGGUGAGUAACACGUGAGUAACCUGCCCUUGACUUUGGGAUAACUUCAGGAAACUGGGGCUAAUACCGGAUAGGAGCUCCUGCUGCAUGGUGGGGGUUGGAAAGUUUCGGCGGUUGGGGAUCGACUCGCGGCUUAUCAGCUUGUUGGUGGGGUAGUGGCUUACCAAGGCUUUGACGGUUAGCCGGCCUGAGAGGUUGACCGGCCACAUUGGGCCUACGAUACGGCCCAGACUCCUACGGGAGGCAGCAGUGGGGAAUAUUGCAGAAUGGGCGGAAGCCUGAUGCAGCAACGCCGCGUGCGGGAUGACGUCCUUCGGGUUGUAAACCGCUUUCGCCUGUGACGAAGCGUGAGUGACGGUAAUGAGUAAAGAAGCACCGGCUAACUACGUG
rnacentral:rRNA from 1 species